CGUCAAGAGUCUCAGUCACACAAGCCCCGGCUGACUGAGCGGCAACCCUCCACCGCGGUGGGGUGCCCCGGGUGACGACAGGGCCGUGAACGCUGCGGCAAGCGCGGACU
rnacentral:ncRNA from 2 species